CAAAGCUGUGAUGAAGCAGCGUUACUAAGGAACGCCAGUGUUUUGGGCAGUGCUAUUUUUAGCUCUACUGAAAAGGGAUAAAUUCUGAGCCUUUGGAAUCUGAACGGCUUCGUGUGUGCCGGCCGUGGAGAACCCUGUCUCUUCUAUCAAUUGCUGUCAGCAUUCAGGUAAAUACUGCUGGAGAGCUCUGAGGAGACUUCAGGAUUCGCCAUUAAAAUCAGCUUUGCUUCCUCGGAUUAUUGUUUUCACUGGAAAUUGAUAAGGAGAAGAUUGAAAUGAAGGGCAGGAGAGAUUUGGGAAGUAAUCCCCUUCUCCACGGAAGCUGUUCUGAUGCUCCCCGUGCCAUAACAAAUCGGUGCUGCUGCAGGAAUUGUGUCAGAGGGAUGCCCUGGACUCAGCUUCCUGAUUUCUCACAUCCAGCAGGACUACAAUGAAGGAUUUGUGGCACUUGAGGUCCAGAGGAGGAAUCUUCAAGGCCAAGGCAUGGCAGGGAAAGGACACACUCUGCGUUUGGGAAUGCAGCAUAAUUGUAACAAUUCACUAAUUAUCAUGCAGGAUUGCAGGAAUUCCUGUUAGUCUGGGAAAAGCAAUUGUAGGAAUUGCUAUUAGUGUUGG